rnacentral:rRNA from 1 species
GACGAACCGUACGAACGUUAUUCGGAAUUACUGGGCUUAAAGGGUGCGUAGGCGGCUCAGUAAGUUGGGUGUGAAAUCCCUCGGCUUAACCGAGGAAUUGCGCCCAAAACUACUGUGCUCGAGGGAGAUAGAGGUGAGCGGAACUUAGGGUGGAGCGGUGAAAUGCAUUGAGAUCGGAAAGAACACCAACGGCGAAAGCACUCUGCUGGGCCGACACUGACACUGAGAGACGAAAGCUAGGGGAGCAAAUGGG